AUUGAACGCUGGCGGCAGGCCUAACACAUGCAAGUCGAACGGUAACAGGAAGCAGCUUGCUGCUUUGCUGACGAGUGGCGGACGGGUGAGAAAUGUCUGGGAAACUGCCUGAUGGAGGGGGAUAACUACUGGAAACGGUAGCUAAUACCGCAUAACGUCGCAAGACCAAAGAGGGGGACCUUCGGGCCUCUUGCCAUCGGAUGUGCCCAGAUGGGAUUAGCUAGUAGGUGGGGUAACGGCUCACCUAGGCGACGAUCCCUAGCUGGUCUGAGAGGAUGACCAGCCACACUGGAACUGAGACACGGUCCAGACUCCUACGGGAGGCAGCAGUGGGGAAUAUUGCACAAUGGGCGCAAGCCUGAUGCAGCCAUGCCGCGUGUAUGAAGAAGGCCUUCGGGUUGUAAAGUACUUUCAGCGGGGAGGAAGGGAGUAAAGUUAAUACCUUUGCUCAUUGACGUUACCCGCAGAAGAAGCACCGGCUAACUCCGUG
rnacentral:rRNA from 1 species